UAUACACUAUGCAUAUAAAUAUAGAUAUUUUGCAAAGCGAUAGUUUGGUGGAUGUAAUAGUGCAAAAUGUAUUUAAAUCUUAUCAAGUAAAAAGAAACAUACGAGUAUUUAUAAUAUGUAAUGUACAGAAAAAUGUACGUUAUCAGAACGGAAAAACUGUAAUUUAAGUACAGACAUUUUUGAAGAAACUGAAACACUUGAUACAGAAAGAUAGGUUAUGUUUUUGCACGUUAAAACGCAUUAUGAUUUAUGCUUCAACAAUUUUCUAACGAUAUUCUAAUCUUUUCCAUUACUCUAUUAAUAAAAACAAACAGCAUGAUUUCUGAUGAAUAUAAACAACACAAUACAUGGAAUAACAUAAAAAUAAAUAAUGAUAUUUACAUGGUUUCUGUUACACAAAAAGAUGACAUAAUUAAAGUUUUCCUAACUAAUCUUAUUGAAAUAUGGAUUGAUACAUUGACAAAAGAAAUUAUUUUGGAUAGAUGUCGGAAGUUAAAUCGACUUUUAAAUAUUGAAGCUCUUGAUUAUAAUGACAUUAUAUUAAAUAUUUUGAACGAUAUGUCAAAAUAUAUUAUCAAUGCAACUGUGGAACAUAUCGAGUUGCAAGUUCAAGUAGAACGUUGUUUAAUGAAAUUUGAACUAAAUUUAACAAAAGGAACAUCAGAAGAUUUUUGGGAUUUUGUAACUAAACCUCUAUGUAUAUCAUCGAUGGAAAUUAUUCAUCAGCACAAAUUUCUUUUAGAUUUAAUGAGAAGGAAAGAUGAAGAAAUUGCUGAAUAUAAAGCAGAAGGUGCAAAAUUAAUAAGAAAGAAUAUUGAAACAAAACCUUUUAAAGAGGAACAGUUCGAAAUAACUAUUUCUAAUCCAAGUAUUAUUGACUGCACAAAUGCAUUCCAAACCAUGGUGAAUUUUUAUAAUAAACUUAAUUUAUACAAACGUAGUACAAUUCCUAGAGAAUCUACAAGCAGUAGCAGCAUUAAUGAUGCUGAUGACAUGCACAAAAUGGAGCAGAAUAUUAUUAGUUCUGUUCAGAAUGACGAUAACAGUAUGUAUAAACAUGAGGAUACUUUUAUACACAAGAGCACAGAAUGUAUACAUUCUGAAAAUAAACAGCAAGACAAAGAUACAACUAACAAGAAAAUAAUUAAGAAUAAAACAGGAACCACAAAUAUGGUACAUAGGCCUAAAAAGUUAAAAAAAGGUUUGAAUGAUUUUAUAUUGUGAAGUAUAACUAUCUAAAAUAUAAGAAAAUAUUUUAAAUACAUAUAAUAUUCAGAGGAAAGGCUAAUUAAUAAGGAUUGUUAUUUAGAAUACUUUUCCCCUCCUACAUUUAUUAGCUUAAACAAUAAUUAAAACAAAAUUAGAAAAGAUUAAUUAUAGUAAAAAUCUUGAUAUAUAUAUGUGUGUAUAAUAAAUAUAUACAAAAUGGAGUACCUAUAAUAGAUUAAUUUGUUCAAAACCAACGACGUACCAUGUACGUCCUAAAAUUCUGGGCUAUUUGCACAAUACGACCAGUGAUGCAUCAUAUACACUUUAUAAUGAAAUUAAUGUUAUCAUUAAGUAUUUAAAACGCUAUUAAAGAGAGGUAACACCAUGUCGAAAGGACAACCAGGAACAUAGAGAUUUAUAGACACAAUGAAAAUGCCCUUCCACUAAAAGAUAAAUGAAAGAAGUAAGAAAUCAUCAUAGGAAAUAAUGAUAAUGAUGAUGAUGAUAAUAUGCAAGACAGCAAUGUAAAUUACAAUAAAAUUGAUAGUGAAAGUAGCAGAAUGACAUUAGGACAAGAUAAUGGAGAACCUGAACAUCUACCUGAAAUGUUACCCAGA